rnacentral:rRNA from 1 species
CAGCCGUAAACAAUGUGCGUUAGGUGUGUCGGUAACCACGUGUUACUGAUGCGCCGAAGAGGAAUCGUGAAACGCACCACCUGGGAAGUACGGUCGCAAGGCUGAAACUUAAAGGAAUUGGCGGGGGAGCACCACAACAGGUGGAGCCUGCGGUUUAAUUGGAUUCAACGCCGGACAUCUCACCGGAUAAGACAGCUGAAUGAUUGUCAAUCUGAAGGUUUUACAUGACUAGCUGAGAGGAGGUGCAUGGCGUAGACGUCU